CCUCCCCGGCCGCUGGGGCGCCGUACGCCUGGCGACUAGCACGGAUGAAAACAUGGAGGCGUGCUGUGUUCCAGUUUCACUUCAUCACCCUCUGGAUUUACAGCUCUGCCCAGUUCUGUCGUCAUUACAGGCAAGAUCCUCUUGUAUGAUAGGAACCAGUAACAGUCACCAGACCAGAAUUUGAACACACACAUCCUUAAGACUAGGUGCUCUCAUCUUCUGCUGUGUCU
rnacentral:lncRNA from 1 species